GCUAGUAACGCUCGAGCGGGAGGCGCCUAAUACAUGCAAGUCGAGCGGACCGACGGGAGCUUGCUCCCUUAGGUCAGCGGCGGACGGGUGAGUAACACGUGGGUAACCUGCCUGUAAGACUGGGAUAACUCCGGGAAACCGGGGCUAAUACCGGAUGCUUGAUUGAACCGCAUGGUUCAAUCAUAAAAGGUGGCUUUUAGCUACCACUUACAGAUGGACCCGCGGCGCAUUAGCUAGUUGGUGAGGUAACGGCUCACCAAGGCGACGAUGCGUAGCCGACCUGAGAGGGUGAUCGGCCACACUGGGACUGAGACACGGCCCAGACUCCUACGGGAGGCAGCAGUAGGGAAUCUUCCGCAAUGGACGAAAGUCUGACGGAGCAACGCCGCGUGAGUGAUGAAGGUUUUCGGAUCGUAAAACUCUGUUGUUAAGGGAAGAACAAGUACCGUUCGAAUAGGGCGGACCUUGA
rnacentral:rRNA from 1 species